rnacentral:lncRNA from 1 species
UCAAAACACGGCAAUGACCAGGAAAGCAGCUGUGGUUGUUCUAAUUGCAGGAGACAACACUGACACAGCUAAAACAAUUUAAAUAUUAAUAAGCUGCACAGUAGUCUGGAGCACUAAUGCACCAAAUGGUCAACACACUAAGUCCACAAGAAAUUGCUGAAUAAGCAGAAAAACCAGUGCACAGAUGCAUACACAAGAAAUGGUCAGGACAAGCUGGAUGGGACAAGCAUUCCAGCCUUGUACCAACACAUCCAACAAGAAACUGCUGAUCAUCACUUGACAGCGAUAAGCCACCAACACAAUCUACUGUGCAUUAGCCCAUGAAAGAGACAUUUGUAAAUAAUUCGCACAAAAUGAUGCAUUUUAUGCAUUCACAAAUUUUGUCAUUUUAUGAGCUGCUAAGCAGUAUUUAUGUAUGCUCCUAAACUCUGUUUCUACGCAUUUGUGUUAUUACUGUUGUAUUCUCAUGCCCCUGAUGUAUUCACGUGCUUGUGCAGGCUUCCACAGUAUGCUCAACCCGUGUAAACCCUAGGUACUGAAAACAAGCAAGUUUAUGAGCUUGCAAAGAAAACACUACGAUUAGAAAUCACAGUUCAUCUCUACUGGCUAUAAGGACACUAGCAUGUAUACCAACAGGGACAUGACUUCUCCGUUUCAAGCUGAUGAAGUCGAACUUCUAAACCCUCCCAAACAGCCUACAUGCCUGCCUUAUGCCACACAAUGAGUCUACCUAAUCAUGCAUAAAAGGAAAAAUUAUGGCAGGGUGCCACCAGCAGGCAGAACCCUAAUGAGUGAGUGCAGGUGGCACCAUUCUUCAUGUAUGCACAUGCUGUUUUGCACAAAAGGUUUUGUAUUUCCAUGUUGAAUAUCUACUUAUGUACCCCCCUAUUUUUGGCUAAGUGCACACACCAAAAGCAAACAUGAACACAUGCA